UAUAAAGUCUGCCUGUUCAUUUAUGCGAGAGUAGGAAAAGGUUCUAAUUGUUACAACUGUUAAAGAGAAACAAUGAAGACAGUUAAAAAAACUGCUGACCCCAGAGAGUUGAAUGGUUGGUAAGACGACGAAGUUUCGAUGCUCGGGGAACCUAAAAUUGGAACCCCUUCAUAUUUUCCUUCGAGUAAGCGAAGCAAUUAAAAAGUUUAUUACCUUCUCUAAAAGUCUGGGCCUGUAAGGUAUUGUGACUUCUUCUGUUCUAUGAAAUAAGUAAAAAAAAUUGAGGAACUAUUGGAAGUAAGAAGAAAGGUCGACGUACAGCGGCAUGCUUCUAUAAAGCUCUUGUUUCUGAGCAGAAGAAAUGACGAUAAUGUUAUUUAAACAAUUGACUUUAAGCAAUAAAG